rnacentral:lncRNA from 1 species
CUCGGGGCACAUCUGUUGCCUUCAUAAAAUCUGGCUGCGUACAUGGAAAAAUUGUCAACAGACCAAAUUUUAACUUAUCACCGACAGAUUUAAUUGAUAUACCUAGCCUAGCUCGGAGUAUAGGAAAUAGAUUUAUAACUCAGAUUUGGGUAAAAGGCGGGCGAAAAAUGGCUGGCGACGAAGCUCGAAGCCGCCUUAAGCCGGUAAGAAAUUUGUGCCUGUUACUUUACCUUCUCCUUGAACUCUGCACUUCUCUCAUACCGUUUUAGUAUGUACAGGAUGGCGAUGCUGAGGAACAAUGAGCCGAAGCUUGACAGGUGAUCCGGAGCUCAGAUGAUCCGAAGCUCAAUGAUGUCAAAGCUGAAGACCUUGCUGAAAAUUUCUAGAGAAAAUCUUGUAAUAUCGUUGUAAAAAUAUUUGUAAUUUAAAAAUCAAAUACUAAUUCUGUAAAUUUGUGCAUACCUUGUAAUAUAUUUUUACCUUUUCGUCCAUGUUUGAACUGCUUUGCUGUGGACGAAACUAGUAUUUUUUUGAGCCAAAGGCGAAAAACACCUUCCCUUCUUUUCGUACACAACGAAGCAUGAAACUGCUUCUUUUUUUUGCCGAAGCCUUAUUUUUAUGUCCGAAACAUCCGCCUGUGUCUGUAUGUUAUGAUGAUGAUCCUAUGUAUGUCUAAAUGAAUGUUUAUGAAUGCAAAUAUAUGAUGUAAUGUGUCGUGCAAAUGAAUGUCCAAAGACACACAUACAAAGCCACAACCAUAGCCUUUAUUCCCUUGGGAAUGACCAAAGUCUCUUUGCCGUUUAUUUUUCGGCUUCACCGCUUAUUUUUCGGUGUAUCAGCGCUGACUUUUCGCUGUAAGUUCUGCAUCACCUUAGGAACGUCUUUUGAACUUCUUCGCCUUCUAUUUCGACGGUAUCGCGUUGACUUUUUGCGCUUCGCCUUUUAUUUCGGCGGAAUCAACGUUGACUUUUCGUUGUAAGCUCUGCAUUCCCUUUGGAACGACUUUUGAGUAGAAAACUUACGCUGCGCUCCCUUAGGAACGGCUUUUUGUAGCUUCAUCGUGCUCUGCAUCCCCUUAGGGACGACUUUCGAGCUUCUCCCUAUUUUUUCCUCUUUUCCUGCACUCGAUGGUGCAUGCUCAGCUUUUACAUCUACAUAUCUGGGGGAUUUUGCUCUCGUAGAGCUGAAUAAGAAAAAGAGAAAUUACAUUCUAUGGCCCCAUUAAAAACCUUUCUCCCCCUUUGGAAAGGAAAAGGGUGCCAUAGGAAAAAUAAAAAGAUUACAUCAAGCUAAACAUAAUAUCGCCGAAGCUCAUCCGCAUUCCAAGAUCUAGGAAUGUCGUUGCCGUCCAUAUCCUUCAAUCUGUAAGAACCGGGUCUUGACGAAGAUACUACCAGAAAAGGUCCUUCCCACUUCAACUGUAGCUUGCCUACUGUAUCUGGGUUGGCCACUCUCCGAAGUACCAAAUGCCCUGGCUUAAUGUUCUUUAGCCAAACUUUUCUAUCACGCCAUUUUAUUGUUUUGGCUUGGUAUUUAUUGAUAUUCUCCACGGCCUGAAGCCUGAUCCCUUCUAUAGCAUCUUUUGCCACAGAAUAAUCAGCUUCGUCCUCUGCCGAAGCUACUGUUCUUAUUGAUCCUGCCUUAGCUUCUUUUGGGGUUAUUGCUUCGUCACCUACCAAACAAUAGUUUGAAUGGUGUAAAACCUGUUGACCUUGAUAUUGUUGUAUUGUGGCUCCACACCACUUUGAUCAAUUCAUCUAGCCACUUUCCUCUGGGCUGAUUGAAGAUUAACUUCAUUAUUCCCGUCAUUAUAAUGCCAUUAGCUCUUUCAACAUGUCCAUUUGACUCUAGAUGUCUGACCGAUGCAAAAUGAAUCUUCGUGCCAAUUUGUUCACAGAAUUCCUUGAAAGCUUCAGCAUCGAACUGUGUUCCGUUGUCUACAGUAAUAGCCUUCGGCACUCCAAAGCGACAAACAAUGUUUUGCCAGAAGAAUUUCUGGACGGUGACUGAGGUUAUUGUGGCUAAAGGCUUCGCCUCAAUCCACUUGAAAAAAUACUCUACCGCCACCACAACAUAUUUUAGAUUUCCUUGUGCUGGUGGAAGUGGGCCUAGCAAAUCGAGGCCCCACCUUUGCAACAGUCAAGUGGGCUGUAUUAACUGAGUGAGAGAUGAAGGCUGCUUCUGGUCUCUUGCACAUUUUUGGACUAAUUCUGCUGCAUCCGAAGCUGCCUUUGGCCAGUAAAAUCCUUGUCGAAAAACUUUUCCCAACAAGGGCCUAGAUCCAAUGUGAGAUCCACACAGACCUGCAUGUAUCUCUUUCAUUAAUUCCAUACCUUCAGUUCUUGAUAAACACUUGAGGAGUGGUGAACAAACUCCAUGUUUAUACAAUUCCCCUUCUAUUAUCACAUAUGGUCUUGUUCUUGCCUCUAUUCUCUUGUUAUAAGCUUCAUCACUUGAGAGACAAUUGCCUUGGAGGAAAGAUAUUAUUUCAGUUCUCCAGUCUUCACUGUGUACUGGAGAAAUAGUAAGCACUGCUCUCUCCAUGAGCUCAACCGAAGGUGCUUUUAUUGUUUCAAAAAAUACUUCCAAGGGUAGAGGGAGCCCCUGAGCCGCUGAUUUGGCUAGCAAAUCUGCAUGUUCAUUUUCACCUCUUGGAAUAUUCUUGACAGAAAAACCUUCGAAGGAAGCUUCCAACCUUCGAACUGCAUCCAAAUAUCUUUCAAGCUUCGGAUCUCGUGCCUUGUUACUUUUGUCCACGUGGCCAGCAAUAACUUGAGAAUCAGUCUUUAGGAUGGCCCUUCUUAUUCCCAUUGCCCUUAGUUUCCGAAGCCCCAACAGAAGUGCUUCGUACUCAGCAAUAUUAUUUGUACAAUUGAAAUCUAGUUUGACUGCAUAACAUGUUUUGACUUUUAAAGGUGCUACUAGGACCGCAACUGCUCCUGCACCGAAAGCUCCCCAAGAACCAUCGCAAAACACUGUCCAAGCUUCGGCAUCUUUGCUUGUCCCCUCUUCGUGAGCCCCUGGCGUCCAAUCAGCGAUGAAAUCUGCUAGCGCUUGGGAUUGAAUUGAAGAUCUGUGCACGUAGUCAAUAGUGAAUUCAUUAAGCUCCACGGCCCAUUUUCCAAUCCUUCCAGUAGCUUCUCUAUUCCUCAUGAUAUCCUUUAGGGGCUGUGAUGAAGGAACAAUUAUGUGAUAUGCUUGAAAAUAAUGCCGAAGCUUCCUGGACACCAUUAACACAGCAAACAACACCUUCUCCAAUUCUGUAUAGUUUUUCUUUGAUAAACUCAAAACUUCGGAGACAAAGUAUAUUGGGACUUGCUUUUUAGCUUGUCCUUCAAGCUUCUCUUGUACAAGCGCCGCACUCACUGCAGAGUGCGAAGCUGCCACAUAUAAUAGCAAUGGAGCCCCUAGCACGGGUGGAGUUAAUGUUGUUAAAUCGAUCAGGUAUUGCUUUAGCUCUUCGAAGGCUUUCUGUUGAGUUGGGCCCCAUUGAAAAACUUUAGUUGACUUUAAUACUUCAAAGAAUGGUAAAUUUCUUUCUGUUGAUCUAGAUAUAAAUCGAUUCAAAGAUGCCAGUAUUCCCGUCAAUCGUUGGGCCCCCUUCUUUGUGCUUGGCGGCUCCAUUCGAAGGAUAGCUUCGAUCUUGCUUGGGUUGGCUUCGAUCCCCUUCGUUGAAACUAGACAGUCAAGGAACUUGCCCUUCUUCACUCCGAAGACACAUUUUUCUGGAUUUAAUUUUAGGCCAGUUUGCCUGAAAUUAGCAAAUGUUUCCUGCAAAUCAGUAAUGUGGUUUUCUUGCUUCGUGCUCUUCACUAUGAUAUCAUCAACAUAUGUUAUCACAUUUCUGCCUAUCUGAGAAUGAAGAACCUUGGCCGUCAUCCUGCUGAAGCUUCCUCCAGCAUUCUUGAGCCCCUCAGGCAUCCGAAGAUAACAAUAUGUACCACUGGGGGUUAUGAAGCUGGCCUUUGGCUCAUCUUCCUUCUUCAUCCAGAUUUGGUUGUAGCCUAAAUAACAAUCUAGUAGACUCAUGAGCUUUGACGAAGCUGCUGCAUCUACUAGAGAAUCUAUUCUUGGUAAUGGGAACUCAUCCUUUGGACAAGCCUUGUUCAGAUUAGUAAAAUCAAUGCACAUUCUCCAUUUACCAUUGGCCUUCUUCACCAUGACAGUGUUGGCUAGCCAUUCUGGAUAUUUUACUUCUCUGAUGACACCAGCACUGAGAAGUCUUUUUACUUCGUUCCGAGCACCUUCAGCUUUAUCGUCAGACAUUUUUCGAAGCUUUUGCUUCCUGGGUCUGAAGGAUGGAUCGACAUUGAGUGAAUGUUCAAUGACGUCCAUGUUGACACCACAGAGAUCGUUGGGUGACCAUGCAAAAACAUCUUUGUUGUUGAAUAAAAACCUUAUCAAGGUUUUCUCCUGCUCUUCAGAUAAAUGGGACCCCAGCAAUACCUUCUGCUCUGCUAUGUCUUCACAUAGAAGCAUGGGCUUCGGCUGAUCAGCCGAAGCAGCCUUCUCUCUUCUGUACUUAUAUUGCUCACAAACUUUGGCUCCAUCUAUGUUGUUGAUUGCUUUUGAAUCUGUCCAAUUUCCUUCGGCCUUUCUAGCAGCUUCCUGACUGCCAUGAAUAGCAAUGGGUCCUUGUUUCGAAGGUAUCUUCAUGCAUAAAUAUGCUGGAUGAAGUAUUGCUUCGAAAGCGUUGAGUGUCCCAUGACCAAUGAUUGCAUUGUAGGGGUAUUCCAUGUCGACAAUAUCAAACACAAUCUGUUUAGUCCUUGUGUUGUGGACAAAUUCAAAGGUUACUGGCAUUGUGAUCUUGCCAAGUGCUACAAUCUGUCUUCCUUCGAAGCCACAAAGAGGGUGCGUAGCAUCAUGAAUUUUGUCCUCUAGCUCCUGCAUCUGUCUGAAGGCCUUAGCGAAUAUGAUGUGAGUUGCACUGCCUGUAUCAACCAGAACAUUGUGGACCAGAAAUCCCUUAAUGACACAAGAUAUGACCAUAGCAUCAUUGUGAGGGUAAUCUUUGAGCUGAAGGUCUUCCUGGGAGAAGGUGAUUGGGAUGUGGGACCAUUUUGACUUGAUGAAGGGUCCCUGCACCCCAACAUGUUGCACCCUUCUCUGAGCUUCCUUCUUCUGCUUCUUGUUGGCUGGCUCUGAGCAUGAACCGCCUGUUAUUGGGAGCACCCGCUUCGUAGCCGAAGCAGCUUCAACUUGGUUGCCGGACGAAGCCAUCAGCUCGAAAGUGGAAGUGAGUUGACCGGAGGUGGGCGCCAAUGUUGGGCACUUGUUCUCAAAUGCUAUGAAUUAAGAACAAGGCAACACAAAAGUUAAUGGUUAAAGACCUUCGUCCUUCGAAGGAUUAUUUCCCUUAGGAUAUAAUGAUCUUCAGACGAAGGUCAUGAAUGACGUACCUUCGUCAUUUCAAUAAGCAAUAGAAAACAGGAUCAUAUGACACAUAUAAAACAUGAAUAAUCAUAUGAUAUCAUUCAGACAUUUUUAUUAUAUAAUCAUGAAUAGACAUGGAUAACAUUGAAUUACAUUUAUAACUUCGGCUUGACAGAAGGUGAGAAUUCGAGUGUGACGUGCGAGUAAAUGCAAGUCAGCGUGAACAAUACAUGGGUACUGUUCAUCUAUUUAUAGGCACAGGACGCAGCCUGUGAGAAAUUAUAUACAUGCCCUUUACAAAUGCUUACAAUCAUAAUACAAGCUAUCACGGGUCGAUUGGUCAUUUCAUCUUUAAGUCAGUUCACUCCUUCGUCUUGAGACAUGCCACUAUGCCGAAGCUUUAUGGGUGAAAGCUUCGGCACUACUUUUGAGAGGAUCUGCCGAAGGUGUUUCUUCCUACAGGAUCUUCGGCGAUGAAGCAUAUCCCCAACAACCGUUCGUCGUUAAAUCCUCAAUACAUAUGUUCUAUCCACACUUCGACCCGCAACCGCGAGUAGCUGGUUCAUCGCUCGCCAGGCUUGGCUUCCUGGCACUUGUGAUCGCUGCCCUGCUGAAGCAAGGAAGAAGACGAACCCAGGGCCCUUGAUCUCGCAAUGAAUGGUUAGGAUUAGAGGGAAUGGUGUAGAAGCCAGGGCUGUAGGAUUUUAAACGGAUGGCGUAGAUCAAAUUUUGUGUACCCCUUCACCCCGCGGAAUUCGGGCGGUUGGAUCAUAAUCGUGUGGUUCAGAUCUGGGCUGGAUUCCAUUAAAUGCGGACCGUUAGAUCCUGAUCUGAGGCCCUAUAUUCCAUACCCUUUUCGAAGAAAUCAAAUCUAAUUUGCAUCAUCAGUUGGGGAUCGAACGGCCAGAUCUGGCCGAUACCCCUUCGGUCGAUAAACUUACAUAAGAGACCGUGGAAACCCCAGUAAUAAACCCGCCAUCCAACUCAGGGUUAAACUGAGUCUAGGAAAUUUUUGUAGGUUAGCCCCCAACCUCUCUGGAUUUAUGCGCCUAGUCCAGAGCUCAGGGAAAUUAGAUAAUUAAAUUUAGAAAGUGAUUUUCACUACACAAAUAAUUCUAGAAACUUGUGAAAUUCGUAUUUAAUUUAUUUUAGCUCCAAAUUGAUCCAAUCCAGUGGCAUUAAUUUUGUAAUAAUAUUGUCUAUCAACUAGUAGCUCUGUUUAGUCAUGCAACUUGAAUUAAAAUUAUUCACUUGAGUUAUUCUAAUCUAGCUACUAAAUAACUUUAGAAAUUCAUAACUAAAUAACUGUAACUCUGAAUUUAGUGAUUCUUGUUCCUACGAUCUCGUUACGACACGUAGAAUAUUAUCGUGCAUUCUAUUCUGUUGUUUGGUGUGAUGUUAUAUUUUUUUAUACCAUGUUUGUUUGUAUUGUUGCGAGUAGACGAGCCAUCCACAGAGGAUCCAGGGGUUCAUCAGGUAGAGACUGCUGAGCAGGAGCUCGUUAAAGGCAAGUUGUGCCCUUGAUCCUGGCCCCUGGGAUGGUGAUAUCCUGGCCCAAGGCUUAAUAGAAUUAAUAGAGUAUUCAUAUCAACAAGGUGCAUCUUCUUUUUCAGAAGCCUAUAUUGAAAGAACCUCAAAGUUAAGCGUGCUUGGCUUGGAGCAAUUUAGGAUGGAUGACCGACUAGGAAGUUUUCUCGGGUGCGCAUGAGUGAAGACAAAGUGCGCACAAAAGACUCGUGUUGGUCUGUGGGGCCAAUAUAUGAUCCUAGAGAGCUGCCAGGAGUAAGUACCACCGAUCCGAGAUUGGACGGGGUGUUACAAAUAGUAUCAGAGCCAACCCUCGCGGUUUCAUGGGCAUAUGUGGGCUAGGGGUUCGGGUAUAUGGCGCAUGGCGCAUGUGGACCCAGAGUGGUCAUAUAGCAUGGCAUAUGAUGAUACUAGACAUACAGACGUGGCCAAGAGGGGAGGUUCCUGGAUUGGGGUUGACCGACGAGGACGUCGGAUCUUCUAAGGGGAUGGAUUUUGAUAUCCUGGCCCCUGGGAUGGUGAUAUCCUACCCCAAGGCUUAAUAGAAUUAAUAGAGUAUUCAUAUCAACAAGUUGCAUCUUCUUUUUUGGAAGUCUAUCUCGAAAGAACCUCUAAGUUAAGCGUGCUUGGCUUGGAGCAAUUUGGGAUGGGUGACCGACCGGGAAGUUUUCUCGGGUGCGCAUGGGUGAGGACAAAGUGCACACAAAAGACUCGUGUUGGUCUGUGGGGUCAAUAUAUGAUCCUAGAGAGCUGUCAGGAGUAAGUAUCGUCGGUCCGGGAUUGGACGGGGUGUUACAAAACAACACUUUAUGCUGAGCUACGUCUUCACACAAAAGCAUAGACUUUGGUUGUUCUGCCGAAGCAGUUUUAUCUCUUAUGUAUUUAUGUUGCUGGUGAGCUUCGACUUCGUCUAUAUUGUGAAUGGCCAUAAACAUUUUUUAUGCCUAUAUGCAUAUGCAGAUGCAAUUGUGGAUAUUACUCCACAACUCAUGAUCAAUCAAAGAACCAAAUCAAACAGUUAUCAUAGGAACAAACAUUCAAGCGUAUAGAUACUUACAAAAAUAGUUUUGUUUUUGUUCCUAAGAUUAGGUCUCCUUUUCCUAAAGGUCACUUUAGGUAAAGGAUUUCAAAGUGUGAAAUCCACCUUUGUCAUUGGAAGAGAAAAGGUAACAAUAAUCAGAGUAAAGCAACAAUAGAUGAGAAAAGAUUAAGAUAAGUUUAUAAAGAAUCUGAGUAGCAAAGGUAAGUAGGUAAGGGUUGUCCGUUCUAUAUAGGUUUUGUCCUAGAGUCAACAUUCGUCUGAUACCACUUCUGUCACACCAGGAUUUAGGGGGCCAAACCCUGGCGCGGUUCACAUGUGUGCUAGGAUCAAGUCUCACACAUAUGAUGACUCAUGGUACAGAAACGAAUGUCACAACUUUAAUAUAUAAUAGAGUUCUAUACAAAAUAGUUAAAUAAUUACAUCAUAUGAAGACAACGAUCUAGCAACUAAAGUUGACUUGGAGACGACGGCCUAGACCACUCACGAACUCAUCACAACAUCCUUCACACGCCUCAUCCUGUGGUACCUGUACUUGACCUAGGGAAUGUGAGUACAACAAGGGUGAGCUCACAUACGUUCAUCACGCAACAAGUUGUGGGGAAUAAUGUGCAUGAGCUCACUUACGGUGGGCCUCAUGUGAAGUGUAAGGCUUACCAAAGGAGAUGGUUAAAGCUGAGCAUUGCUUUUAGAGUUGGUCAAAAUUUUGUUAGCAGUUAAUUACUAAGUAUAAGUAGAUACCAACCCAAUUAAAUAAGAGAUCACAAUUGAUAAUAACACCCACAAUGCAAUGCAUAUGACAGAUUAAGUUUAAUUCCAUAAUUUAAUCAUGCGAGAGUCCUAAGUCGCUCUUGACCAUGAGCACGGCUGAUAUACCAGUUUUACACUCUGCAGAGGUUGCACCCUUUACCCACAAGUCGUGUAUCUCGUCUACCCAGGGUUUGCAAGGCCCUUAGACACUUCUGAGGUGAAUGGAUAGGGAUCCACUACGAGGCCUUUACAAAGCUCCACUAGCUUUGAAAACCCGCUAUGGUUUCUGAGAAGGGCAAUAUAGGAAUCCCUCGUCCAAAAGUCAUCGCAGCAUGAUCAACCCGAGAACCUCCCUAUACACAGCUCCUCUACCGCCCUUGCCUCUUUCGGGUAAGGUAGUCCUCCACUAGCUUUUCUAAUUAGUCAGCCAAGGGCGUCCCAUGCCACCCUUGUGAUAGCACAGAUAUCUCAAGUUAAGCUCCAUGUUCCAAUUAACACAAUGAUCUUGCCAUGAACAAUAAUUAAAACAACAGCAUAACUGGAACAUGAUCAAAAUAUAACAUUAAUUUCACAAAACCAGGUAGAGUAAUAGCAAAACUACCCAAUAGUUCUUUUGUCUGCAAGGUGUGGGAUAAACAAUGCUAGGGAAGCCUAUUAGGUACCAUCAAAUUAAUCUAAGCAUGUCACAGUGAUUAACAGGAACAUUAAUGGGUAAAGAGAAAAGUGAUCAAGGUCACAACUUGCCUUACACUUGAGAUCCUAGGUACCAAGUUGGUCUUCAGAUUCUCGUGACCUCACCGUUAUUCGUAGCAAUACAUACAAUCAAGCAAGUAAUGGAUAUAAUUACAUUACACCAAAGCAUAUGAACAAACAACAUAAGAGUAUCCUACGCGCUGCUACAAGAUCAUAGGCUCGAGAACCACUAAAUUCGGAGUUACUGUUAAAGAGUUAUGAUUUUCUGAGGAUUUAAGUGUUAGAUCUAAAACAAAUUAAGUACAUAAUUUUAACCAUGUUUUCAUACUAAAAUAAGGUUACUAGAUGAUAAACAAUAUUAACAUGAAUUUAUUGCAACUGGAAUGGAUUAAAAACGAGUUAAACUAAAAUACUUAUGAAUUAAACAAGGUUCUGGAAUUAUUUUUAUGCUAGAAAUAUUUUUCUUUAUUAAUUUUACUCAUUUUAUUUAAUCCUUGUACUGCGACCACUAUUUCAGAAGAGUUUAGGGUUUAUUUUGUAAAUUCAAGGACUCCUUUGUAACACUCUUGCAAAAGGGAUGGGCGGCGGGUUAGUUUGUCAGAAGGGCAGGGUCUCCAUAGGAAAAUUGUUCGGCGAAGGAGUACGAUAGAUUCUGAGUCGUUGGAUUCAUGAUCUAUGGUUACGGUUAAUAUCGCGAAUGAUAUGCUUCCUAGGCCACAGGAUCAGCGAUCAAUGACCCCGGAUUAGUCCUGCACCCUUAAGUUGAAUUCAACUCCCAACCGCACGAUCCCGAUCAGACGAUCGUGAUUUUAUUAAGUCCAGAUUUCAUCACAGUCAUCCAUCGUCGAAUCAGCGAUUCCCAUGCAAUCCCCUGGACCAGGCACCCAUCAUCUAAUUCUGGGCGCCAGAUGAAGAUCCAACGGCCAGGGUUGUUUCUUCUUCCCUGAUACCGGACCACGGUGGCGCAGGCACUAGGCGGCGGUGCCAUUGCCAUCGCACACCCCCCAGCAACAAAGAGCCCAAACCUUACCGUAAAACACAGCUACGCGAGGUGGAGACCAUGCAUAGACGGGUUGUGGGGUCUUACCUGUGAAUCGAGAGUCGCAUGGCCCAUGUCCACGACGAUCCGCUGACCGCCACGAAACUCCACAUCAGCGUGAGAUUACCGGCCUUCCAUUCGCACGGUUAGUCCACGAGAACAUUGCCUGGUCCCAAGUCGGCCCUCGCGUUCUCUAGUGGUACCCGUGGACACCCAGCACGACGAAGCCCGAGCGAUGGCGGUCAUCUUUUCACACCCGCAUCUCCCGCAGCAACGGUGACCAUAUAUACUGCUAUGGAGCCCGCGGAUCGGGGCCAGCUUCAGCAAUAUGCAACGACUUCAAGGAAUCACGGAGUUUGUUGCAGCGCGCAAACAAGGCCAGGCAGGGCUCCCCAUGAAUCACGGUGGAGUUUGUU